UACGUAAGGGGCAAGCGUUAUUCGUCAUUAAUGGGGUCUAAAGGGUACGUAGGCGGUAUAGUAAAUCAAGUUUUAUUCACCUAAGAGUGAAUUUGGUAAUGCAAUACUAGAGUUUAAGGAAGUAACAAAUACUAGGAGAGGAGUGUAAUAAUACCUGGAUACUCACGGGGGUUGCGAAGCGGCGAAGGCAUGUUACUAUAAAAGACUGACGCUGAGGUACGAAGGCAAGGGUAUCGAAAGCGGGAUUAGAGUAACCCUUGUAGUCCGAACGACCAAGUCCUCGUGCCUACCGAUUAAUCACCCAACCCUGGCCCCAUAACAGGAGAAGGG
rnacentral:rRNA from 1 species